rnacentral:rRNA from 1 species
AUUGAACGCUGGCGGCAGGCCUAACACAUGCAAGUCGAGCGGCAGCGGGAAAGUAGCUUGCUACUUUUGCCGGCGAGCGGCGGACGGGUGAGUAAUGCCUGGGAAAUUGCCCAGUCGAGGGGGAUAACAGUUGGAAACGACUGCUAAUACCGCAUACGCCCUACGGGGGAAAGCAGGGGACCUUCGGGCCUUGCGCGAUUGGAUAUGCCCAGGUGGGAUUAGCUAGUUGGUGAGGUAAUGGCUCACCAAGGCGACGAUCCCCAGCUGGUCUGAGAAGGUGAUCAGCCAAACUGGAACUGAGACACGGUCCAGACUCCUACGGGAGGCAGCAGUGGGGAAUAUUGCACAAUGGGGGAAACCCUGAUGCAGCCAUGCCGCGUGUGUGAAGAAGGCCUUCGGGUUGUAAAGCACUUUCAGCGAGGAGGAAAGGUUGAUGCCUAAUACGUAUCAACUGUGACGUUACUCGCAGAAGAAGCACCGGCUAACUCCGUGCCAGCCGCCGCGGUAA